rnacentral:rRNA from 1 species
UAACAAGGAUUCCCCUAGUAACUGCGAGUGAAGCGGGAAAAGCUCAAAUUUAAAAUCUGGCAGUCUUUGAUUGUCCGAGUUGUAAUCUGGAGAAGCGUUUUCUGCGCUGGACCGUGUACAAGUCUCUUGGAACAGAGCGUCAUAGAGGGUGAGAAUCCCGUCUUUGACACGGACUACCAGUGCUUUGUGAUGCGCUCUCAAAGAGUCGAGUUGUUUGGGAAUGCAGCUCAAAAUGGGUGGUAAAUUCCAUCUAAAGCUAAAUAUUGGCGAGAGACCGAUAGCGAACAAGUACCGUGAGGGAAAGAUGAAAAGCACUUUGGAAAGAGAGUUAAACAGUACGUGAAAUUGCUGAAAGGGAAACGCUUGAAGUCAGUCGCGUUUGCUAGUACUCAGCCUUCCUUUUGGUUGGUGCAUUUACUAGUUAACGGGCCAGCAUCAGUUUUGGUUGCGGGAUAAAGGUCAGAGGAAUGUGGCAACCUCGGUUGUGUUAUAGCCUCUGGUCAUAUACCGUGACUGGGACUGAGGAUCUCAGCACGCCUUUAUGGCGGGGGUUCGCCCACCUUCGUGCUUAGGAUGCUGGCGUAAUGGCUUUAAACGAC